GAGGAUGCGUGCGCCGCCCACUGCUGUCGCUGGAGCGUCUCGCAGUGAUGGCACGCGGGUCGUGCCUGUUGCUUGCGUCCAGCGCGCCGUGCCGGCCCCGGAUCUCCGCAGGCGCCGCACCGCCUGCCUGUCGAAAGGUCACGGCUGGAGAAAGAAUCUGGAGACUGAGGAGUAAUGCCUUUAAUGGCCUUCUGGGCUGGGUAUUCACCACAGCGUCCACCCUCAGCCAAGCCCGGGGGUUGGAACAGCUGCCAGAGGGAAAGAGAGCACCCCGUAAAAGAGGGCGGAGGUGGCGUCAGCUUAAACUACCCGGUACACCCAGGUUCCAGGCCCCGUCUUAACCUAAAAACACAGAAAUCACAGUCUGGAGCUUUCAUAACCACUCAAGAGUGUAGAAAGUUAUAGUAACACGAGGAAUGAUGCAACGUUAGAAGGGAGUACAGAAACCCCCAGAAUUAUUACCGGCGGCCUUGAAGUCAAAACGUCUUCCUCAAGUGAGAAAUGCCCUCUUGGCACUUCACCCACUUUCACCUUAGCUAAACCUUGGGGCUGCAAAGUAUAACCAUUUGGUGACCUCACGUCUCAUUGCUGGCAUUACCAGCUUGAGCAGCCAUCCCGUGACUGCAAAGGAACACGCACAUGUUAAGGAUGCUGGGUGAAGGGAAGAGAGAAGGUCCUGGCUCUCCGAGGACGUUGUGGAUAUUCCAGAUCAGCCCUGGACUAAAAAAGACGUAUAUGAUAGGGUUUCGAGAUUCAGUCCUCAGAGGAAAGCUCAAGGGGAAAUGGAGAGGGUGGGAAGAGUGAGACUGAGUUGGCGGAACUCUGCUCUGCCGUUUAACGCUGCGGAGGGCGCCGUGCUGAUCUCCGGCCCACAGUGGCGCCAACCCCCGCGUCCUGGCUUCCUGCCCCCCGAACCGAUGAACCCACUCACUCGCUGAGGAGGCCUCCUACAAGCCGUGAUUCUGCACUUGGAACCCUGGGCUGGCGCCGCGGAUGCCCUCGGGCAGCCCAUCUUCCACGGUCUGCGUUUCACGCAGGGGAAGCCGAGGCUCGGAGGCGCCCAGGGCCUGCUUAGAGUUACAGUCGGAUGCGUUUGCGGCAGAGGCGAAGCUGAUUUUCUAACCUGUGAACUGACACUGGAGUCCCCGACAGAACUGGGCUGGGGCCGCUGACCGUCUAAAGCCUAAACAAGGAGAAGGGACUGAUUCCCAGGCAAUGGAGCUCAAACUCCAAGAAGGCAUCCUUGCGCCUGGGUGGGGGGAAGGCGGCUCCCAGCUACGUGCUUCUGCAAGAUCCCCCAAAGGGCUGCCACCCUCUGUUCCACUGAGAAAUUAAACUCCGGCUUCGCCACCACGCUGGCUUUUCCACUAGAACGCUGUUUUGCGAAAGAGCUGGCGCUUUGCUAGAUUUCUUUUUCCUUAAGGCAUUUGCUUGGCAUUUCCGGGUCCUUGAUCAACAGAGGAACAUGAAGGGACAAAUGAGAAGAGACGGGGAAAUUCCACAACCAACCACUUAGAAAUUCAAUCCAAAACUUCCAUUAUAGUCUAGACCCAGCCUUUGUUCCUGUGAAAAAACUGUGGAUGUGGAAUAUUUUGUAAUAUGCGUUUUCUAUGUAAUCACCCACAAAACAUUCUGAAUUAACGUAAUAGCAAAUAUCUGAGUAUUUACGCUGUGCUGUGUCCAUGUUUUAUGCGGAUAAAAUACUUUAUGGUUGCAU
rnacentral:lncRNA from 1 species